rnacentral:misc_RNA from 1 species
AACUGAUACUACCUGCGGGAACCUGCGGAAGGAUCAUUAGUGAACGCCCUCACGGGCUUAUAACUAUUCCAAACCUCUGUGAACCGUGCCCUUCGGGGCUAUUUUACAAACAUGGCGUAAUGAACGUCAUAUAUCAUAACAAAACAAAACUUUUAGCAACGGAUCUCU